AAAUUGAAGAGUUUGAUCAUGGCUCAGAUUGAACGCUGGCGGCAGGCCUAACACAUGCAAGUCGAACGGUAACAGGAAGCAGCUUGCUGCUUCGCUGACGAGUGGCGGACGGGUGAGUAAUGUCUGGGAAACUGCCUGAUGGAGGGGGAUAACUACUGGAAACGGUAGCUAAUACCGCAUAAUGUCGCAAGACCAAAGAGGGGGACCUUCGGGCCUCUUGCCAUCGGAUGUGCCCAGAUGGGAUUAGCUUGUUGGUGGGGUAACGGCUCACCUAGGCGACGAUCCCUAGCUGGUCUGAGAGGAUGACCAGCCACACUGGAACUGAGACACGGUCCAGACUCCUACGGGAGGCAGCAGUGGGGAAUAUUGCACACGGGGGGCAAGCCUGAUGCAGCCAGGACGCGUGUAUGAAGAAGGCCUUCGGGUUGUAAAGUACUUUCAGCGGGGAGGAAGGGAGUAAAGUUAAUACCUUUGCUCAUUGACGUUACCCGCAGAAGAAGCACCGGCUAACUCCGUGCCAGCAGCCGCGGUAAUACGGAGGGUGCAAGCGUUAAUCGGAAUUACUGGGCGUAAAGCGCACGCAGGCGGUUUGUUAAGUCAGAUGGUGAAUCCCCGGGCUCAACCUGGGAACUGCAUCUGAUACUGGCAAGCUUGAGUCUCGUAGAGGGGGGUAGAAUUCCAGGUGUAGCGGUGAAAUGCGUAGAGAUCUGGAGGAAUACCGGUGGCGAAGGCGGCCCCCUGGACGAAGACUGACGCUCAGGUGCGAAAGCGUGGGGAGCAAACAGGAUUAGAUACCCUGGUAGUCCACGCCGUAAACGAUGUCGACUUGGAGGUUGUGCCCUUGAGGCGUGGCUUCCGGAGCUAACGCGUUAAGUCGACCGCCUGGGGAGUACGGCCGCAAGGUUAAAACUCAAAUGAAUUGACGGGGGCCCGCACAAGCGGUGGAGCAUGUGGUUUAAUUCGAUGCAACGCGAAGAACCUUACCUGGUCUUGACAUCCACAGAACUUUCCAGAGAUGGAUUGGUGCCUUCGGGAACUGUGAGACAGGUGCUGCAUGGCUGUCGUCAGCUCGUGUUGUGAAAUGUUGGGUCAAGUCCCGGAACGAGCGACAACCCUUAUCCUUUGUUGCCAGCGGUCCGGCCGGGAACUCAAAGGAGACUGCCAGUGAUAAACUGGAGGAAGGUGGGGAUGACGUCAAGUCAUCAUGGCCCUUACGACCAGGGCUACACACGUGCUACAAUGGCGCAUACAAAGAGAAGCGACCUCGCGAGAGCAAGCGGACCUCAUAAAGUGCGUCGUAGUCCGGAUUGGAGUCUGCAACUCGACUCCAUGAAGUCGGAAUCGCUAGUAAUCGUGGAUCAGAAUGCCACGGUGAAUACGUUCCCGGGCCUUGUACACACCGCCCGUCACACCAUGGGAGUGGGUUGCAAAAGAAGUAGGUAGCUUAACCUUCGGGAGGGCGCUUACCACUUUGUGAUUCAUGACUGGGGUGAAGUCGUAACAAGGUAACCGUAGGGGAACCUGCGGUUGGAUCACCUCCUUA
rnacentral:rRNA from 1 species